rnacentral:rRNA from 1 species
UACGUAGGGGGCAAGCGUUGUCCGGAAUCAUUGGGCGUAAAGAGCGUGUAGGCGGCCCGGUAAGGCCGCUGUGAAAGUCCAGGGCUCAACCCUGGAAUGCCGGUGGAAACUGUCGGGCUAGAGUCCGGAAGAGGCGAGUGGAAUUCCUGGUGUAGCGGUGAAAUGCGCAGAUAUCAGGAGGAACACCAAUGGCGAAGGCAGCUCGCUGGGACGGUACUGACGCUGAGACGCGAAAGCGUGGGGAGCAAACAGG